CAUCAGCUCUUCCUUCUCCUGUUGUUUUCUUUCUUUCUUCUGCCCUGGAAUUAAGUCUGCUGUUUCUCUUUCCUUAUUUUUUCCAGAUUUUCUUCAAUAAAACUAUCUUUACUGAUAGUAGUUAUAGUAGUAGUAGAAGCACUGGUAUUAGCAGUAGAAAGUAUACCAGUUGAGAUGAUCUCUAGUUCUUAUUUCAUGAACCAAAUUCUUGUGCAAGGACAUAUCUGAGGCCAUGAUGUGUACAAGUUGACCAGAGUUCAAAUGUCACUUCUGCACCUUAUUACAAAGAUCCAGUCUGCCCUCCAGCUACUCCAGAUAGUCAAACUGUCUGCUUUCCCUGUUCUCCUGUUGUUUUCUUUCUUUAUUCUGCCCUGGAAAUAAGUCUGCUGUUUCUCUUUCCUUAUUUUUUCCAGAUUUUCUUCAAUAAAACUCUCUUUACUAAUAGUGGUUAUAGUAGUAGUAGAAGCACUGGUAUUAGCAGUAGAAAGUAUACCAGUUGAGAUGAUCUCUAGUUCUUAUUUCAUGAACCAAAUUCUUGUGCAAGGACAUAUCUGAGGCCAUGAUGUGUAUAAGUUGGCCAGAGUUCAAAUGUCACUUCUGCACCUUAUUACAAAGAUCCAGUCUGCCCUCCAGCUACUCCAGAUAGUCAAACUGUCUGCUUUCCCUGUCCUCAUUUAAAAGCGCUGACCAACCAAAAGGCUUUUGCAAGGUUCUAGCUACCCCAUUUUUCAUGUUUAGCCCUAAGAGUGGCCAACCAAAGGGCUAAACUGUUUCUACUAGUCCACAGUUUCUGGUGUAGCAAGGUUAAAUUUUCCUUGUGGUGCUUUUAUCUUUCAUAAGAUGGGGGAAUUUUUUUCUCACAGCCCUAGGCCUUGUUUGGUAGGCACCUCAUCGCAUUUUUAGACAACAUCCCUAAUACAUAUUAUUUACUAUUAACUAAAAUGGGAUAAACUCAUUUUUAGGCAUCUUUCAAACAGGGUCAGGUGUCAACUCGCAUUUGCCCUAUUGUUGUCUCGAGGAACUACUCGCACUCUGCUAGUUCAGGAUUGCCAAAAUACCAUAGAAAUUAAUUUCAUAGGUGUCAUCUGGAGGAGUUGUCCCUACAACGACAGACUUUGGAUGUUGCCACCAGCAUGGAUGACCUCCUCCUGAUUCAGAAUCAUUACAGAUUGAGUGAAGCCUCUGAAUCUGGAUUCGGCCCUUGUCCUUUCAAUUGUAAGCCUGAAUAUCUUGAAAUUGUUCUGAUUUGACUUGUCUACUGAUCAUCUCUUCUUGGGAGAAGAGGAUAACAAUCAAGGUUAACAUUAACCGAUGACGGAGCAGCCAUUUCAGGCAGGGGAGGUAGAAGUAGUGGGGACAGAAACAGAAGCGGUUUCCCCUCAUAGAAUAGUAGUAAUGGAGACAACGGCAAACGGGGAAGCGAGCAGAACCAGUGCAACGGAAAAGGGACCGAUUGUACCCUCCAAUCGACGAGAUAAAGGGGAAGGCUGGGUCUUAGUUUCAAAGAAAUGUAGGAAAGAGAUCCUACCUAGGAAGAGAAAUAGGGAUGUGGCCAGUUACCCAACCUUGUUUGUCAAGGGAUAUCUAACAGGACGGCUUCCCAUCAAUUUUGCCAUAGUGUUUGGUAGGGCUGGUAUCGUGAUGGAUGUUGUAAUGCCUAGGAAUAAAGCAAAUGGCUCCUAUAGGGGAUUUGCGUUGGUUAGAAUGAGCUCUGAGAGUGAGCUUCAUAAGGGGAUUCAAAUCCUUGAUGGUGAGAGUUUCGGGGGUGCAAAAAUGCGAGUUCAAAGGGUGAGAUUCGGACCGAAACUCAGGGUUAAACCAGAAAAAAGGCCCCAGAGGCCUAAAUCGCCUCAGAUGUCUUAUAGGAACAACAACUCCAGAAAUACAUUUUAGCAGGGUUCAAUCUCCUUCAAAGAGAUCCUUCUCAACAAGAGAGAUGACACCUCUACACGAGAGGCGAACCCAAAUAGAGAAGACAUUGGGCAUAAUAUAAAGGGUAGGGAAGCAGAGAAGCCAGGAAAAAACGACAACAGAGGUAUAUUCAUCAAUUAAUCAGCAUUUGAAAAAUCAAAAAUAGCUCUGUAGGAUUCGGUGGUCGCUAUCACCAAGGAGGGUGCUUCUACAGCACAAGUUAGAUGAUGGCUUGAUGAGUGCUGCAGUGCUCCUGCAACAUGCUAUACAAUCAAACCUAUCGGAUUCAAUGAGUUGUGGAUUAGGAUGAGUCCAGAGUACAACGUAGACCUCUUAAUAAUGGCAGGAGUUAUUCAUAAAGACGGUCCGAUUAUUUCGGUUCAGAGAUGGGAAGAAUUCUCCAUGUUCGGGUUCGAAGAGGUAUGGAUACUGAUAUGGUCGGUCCCUUUGGAAUUAUGUUAUGAAGAAUUUUUUCUCUCUAUCGCGUCUCGUCUGGCUCAACUCGUCGAGUUGGAUCCCAAAACGAAGAGGGGUGAGGAGUUGGGAGUCAUCAGAGCUAGGAUUCGUAGGAGGAAGGGGGAGACAUUACCAUCCUACAUCCAAGCUAUGGCUAAUGAGAGAACGGUGAUUCUUCCAAUCCAACAGGAGGCCAAAAACGCCCCGAUCCCAAGAUGGGGUGACCUUUGGAGGUCUAGAGAGCCGAUUCAUUCGUCAUCUGUUUUUGGGUAAGUUGGGGAAGAAGGAUGAGCAUGUCUUCGGUACUCCUUAGGCCCAUCGUUGCAGAGAGAUAAUCGAAUACCGUGCUCAACAAGUCUAUCAGUAUUACCAAGGGACAACUGUCAUCAUUGUAUUGAUAGUUUUCGAAAUGUGGAAGGUGUAGAUCGAAGCGGUCAGAUCGGGUAGAAUGUCGACAUAGUUACUUUAUUAAGUGAUACGUGUCACCCCAUCGAGGGUAGAGAUCCCUCUCCUUCGCACAAGUGGACGGCGGAGAAGGACUCUAUUGUCAAUCACGCACGGAUCCAUAGGUCUUCUAACCCCAACCUCUCCUCAGUGAAACCUAUCGAGAGCGCUGGCCCUUUACAGACAGAUGGAGUCCAUCGGGAGGCUCGGGUGUCUACUCGCAGGCUCAGGUCCUUAGCUAAGCAUCGGACGGGUGAUCCGGAAGUUCCGAACUAGUUAUCAUUGAAUCUCGACCUCUCUCUUUAGUCAGAUCCCACUUCUGAACGACAACUUAUCUCCAAACCUCUACGUCUAGAAGUUAUCGCAGCAGCUGCUGAACAUCUAUACAGGAAGCUUCCGCUCCAGCUUCUUUCCAGACAUCAAAGCGAUGAAUGUCUAGCUGCGAACGUCUUUAAGGGUCCCGAGUCUAGUUGCGAAUCAGACUUCCCUCCAAAUCUUCUAGCAUUGGAAGGCGGUGAUCUCUCCGAUUCCAAUCCUGACUCUCCAUUCUCAGAGCAAGCCAAUGCUUUGAGUUGUUCUUUGCCCUGUUCCGUUUCCCAAUCAGAGAUUAUGUCAGACUCGACCCUUUUCGCUCUCUUUCAGGAAGAAGAUGUGGAAGGUAUUAUCGAAGCAGAGUUUCUUUAGAUCAGGAUGGGGAGUCAGUCACAAGUUUCUGGUGAUGUUGAUACGGCAGAGAAGGAUAUUGUAGUGCAGAGGGCAAAGCUAGUCGACUCUAUUCAGAAAAAAAAAGAUGGAUAAGGGAUGCUAUGGGCCACGUUGGGAGAUCAUUAGGUUUUUCAUUUGGAGAUCAUCCUGAAGAUUUUAUUGCUCUAUUUCACUGCAUUGAGACUCGCGGUCAUCCCCUACAAUGUUCCAAAUCCCCUAGAAUCCAAUCUCCCAAGUUAAGAAGAAACAGAGAAUUACAGAGUCUUCAAUCCAGUUCCUUUUACAGUAAGGAAAUAAUGUUGGGUAGUAUCGGAGGAGGCCGACGAGGAAGAUUUGUUUCUUAGAUGAUUAUUCUUUCAUGGAACAGUAGAGGGGUGGGCUCUAAGAAGUAGAGAAGUUUGAUAAAAGAUAUCAUCGACAUAAGUAAAGCAGAAAUUAUCUGCCUUCAGGAAACCAAAGACCAGGAAUUCAAUAGCAAUCUGAUGGGCUCUCUCUGGAAGGAAGCAAAUGCGAAGUGGGUGCCGUUAAAUGCGAUAGGAAGAGCAGGUGGUAUUUUGAUAGCCUGGAAUUCGUCUCCGUGGUCCAUGGAGCGCAGUUGGGUUGGUGUAUUCUCGGUUUCGGUUAUUCUCAAACAGUUUAGCUCUGACUUUUCUUGUCUAAUUUCUUCGGUUUAUGGUCCUAACCAAGAAGAUAGAAGAACUGCUUUUUGGGAUGGAUUGAAUGUAGGCAGGCAAAAUUUUGAUGGUCCUUGGUGCAUUGGAGGCAAUUUUAACAUUACACGUUACGCAGAGGAGAAAUCCAAUGUUGGCAAAGUCUCUUCAGCAAUGCAUUCCUUUUCUCGCUAGAUCGACUCUCAAGAAUUGGUGGAUCUUCCUCUGAUCGGUUCAAGAUUUACCUGGUCUAAUUAGAGAGCGGACCCGAUUCUUGCACGGUUGGACAAAUUUCUUCUUUUAGGGGAUUGGAUCGAAGCGUUUCCUUUGUUCUCGCAAUCUGCUCUGCCUCGUCCUACAUUUGAUCAGAGUCCUCUUAUUCUCUCUAUGGAGGAGGAUAAUUGGGGGUCCGAAACCAUUCAGAUUUGAUUUAUCUUGGCUGAAGAUCGAAGGUUUCCAGCAGCUCAUCUCGGAUUUGGUGGAAAGGUUUCAAGGUUGAUGGCUAUGUAGGGUACAGAUUAAGCCAAAAGCUAAUUAUGUUGAAGGAGAAGAUAAAAGGAUGGAAGAAGUUUGAUCUACGUAAAAGGCAAGAAGAAACAUAUGCCAUCUUGGUCGAAAUUCAGACCAUAGAUUCUGCGAUAAAAGACAGCCAAGGGAUAGUGCAAUUUGGUCCAGAAGAUCUAAGCUAGUCCAUGAUGGGGACAUCUCGCGCACACGCAUGCCUCCUUUACGCACAUAUGCAAGGAGGGCCCCACCUUCUAUCUGGAUCGAUGACGACAUCCAUGGAGGACCUCCUAGUUAGAGGUCCGUGUUUUGGUUCCUUGGGAUGGACCCGAUCAUCAUGUGGAUCCCAUCAUUGGAUCUCAUGAUCGUGGCCCACUACCCUAGGUGACCUAGUACUUUAGGUUUUGCUUAUUAUUGUUAUUAGAAAUAUCAUGGAUGGUUUAGAUUGCUUUGAUUAGUUGUUAUUUUUGAUUACUUCGUCUCCAAGUAAUAGGUUACGCACAUGGCGCGAGUUUUGGGGUCUAGGGUUUUAUUAUAAAUAGGCACCCCUUGUAGCCUUUUUUCUCAAUGAAGAUUAAUAAAAUUGCUGCGUUUUUAUGCUCCUCUAAAUUUCUAAGUUGUGGAGAUUCAAUUGGGUGUGAAACCCUCCCUAAAGGGCUGACUACCGUGGUGCGAAGCCACACUUGUCCUAAUUUGCCCCAACUUUCUUCCAUCCAGAUUUCUCCUCCUACAAUCAUUUACGCUUCAAAUCCAUCCUCUAUUGCAGCCGUUUUUCUCUGUACAACAGAUUUUCAGAAUCUGGCCUUGUAGGAGGGCUGAAACUUUGGGGGAGCACCACGCACAAACCGUGUAUCGGAUCGAGCUGAGAUUUGAGGGUUUUGGAGUCCAUCACUGGCCGACCAGGGCCAAGGUGGUCUUUUUCUGAAUAGUGGGCCCCACACAUGUGCGGCCGGAAUCACACUCAUGUGCAUCUGGGCCAUUGCUGCUAUCCACACGUGCAGUACUUCUUUAGUUUGUCUCUCUCAUCUCUUUCACUCUUUCACCCAAAAUCCCUAAACCUAACCUUAAAUUAUUCGAAUCUCCAAAUUUGUGCCCUUUCUUCAGCCUUAGGGUUCCCCGAAUUGAAAUUUCUGAAUCCCUUGGAUUGGGGGAGUUAUUUAUGUGCAUGCGUAGAUGAAUUUACCCUCCUUUGAUUAUUGUUUGGUCUAUAAUUUUGAUUGAUCCGGCCCUAGCAUGUGUAGGCCUGGAUCCGCAUAAGAUUCCCCUUGAUUAAGUGUUUGAACUUUUGUGUGGGAUGUGGAAUUUUGUGUAAUUAUUUCUGAACUAGUGUGAUCUAAAGCCU